GUGAUCUGGAUCUGUGAGCAGCCCUGACCUCCCACAGCACUCAUCCAACGGCAGGAAGACCCUGCCUGGUUCCUGCUAGGGUUCUCGCCACCCACCGACAGCUUCUCCCUGCAGAGGUGUGGGCAACUACCCAGGCAGGAUGAGACCUGAGCCUGGCAGGCAGCAGGGUCCCUGCCUUGACAUGAAGAACCCCGGAGCACAGGGACCCUGCUCUGCAGGACAGCCCCGGGCACUCCUGGCUGCACCCCUACCUUCCCAACCCACAGCCAUCCCUGGCAGAAGGAACCCACCUGCACUGUCCCUCUGACGGUGCUGCAGGGAAGGCCUGCCCUGGAGAACAUCCUCCUCCUGUGCAACAGAGAAACUGGGAGAGUCCUGACAGAGGUGCAAGGCUGUGGGAUGUGGUAGCUUUAGGAGAUUCCUCCAGGAACACAAGGGACAUUGCCCUGCACCUGUAGACUCACUCUGCAGAGGAGUGUGAAGUCGUGUCCCCAAGGGAAGUCUCAGCUGAACACCUCCCAUCUUUCCGCUGCCUUUAACCUCCCUCUGCCUUGCUUCUCUUCUCUCGUGGCUACAGGCAGUGCCCUCGGCCCUACAGGGCUGUGCAGAGGAGCUGCUCCUGGGCAGAGCUGUCUCUCUGCAGUGCUGCCCGCUUGCCAGGAGCUCCCUGUGUGCCAGGAGCCCGGCCCAGCUGAGCAGCACAGCAAGAGCCAAAGGUAGCCCUUUCUCUGCCCCUCUGGGUUCCCCGCAGGUGUCCCUGGGGCUCCAGGGGAACCUGCUGUGGAACAGGCUGAACAAAACAAUGAUGUUCCCUCUUCUCCCCUCUUCAGUGACACUUCUUUCCAGCAGUGACAUUUCUCCCCUUAGAAAAUUAACAGGGUCUGACAGCUGUGUCACGGUGACACGGGGGGCAUCGUAGAACCAAACAAACCCUGAGACAUUUCAGAAUCCCACGUGUUGGGUCUGUCUGAGCUGGAGUUCAUUUUCUCACUGCAGCCAUCACAGUGCUGUGCUUUGCAUUGGGAGCUACAAAGGGGUUAAUCACACCAGUGCUUUGGCAACUGCUGAGCAGGGCUGGCACAGCAUCUGCAUUGUCAGCUUCCUCCCUUGAAUCGGGGGCAAGCUCAUGAGAGGGGAUACAGGCAGGCCACUUAAGCCAAAUGGACCAAAGAGACAUCGCUACAAAAGCUCAGGAAAGGAACAGGAAAGGGGGAAAUCCAUUUUUUUACAAUAUAUGCCUUCUGAGCGGCCUCUCUGUGUGGUGAAGCCCUGCUUCCUGUGAAGUGGCCAGGCAUGGCUGCUGAAGGGAAGUAGAGAAUAAAUCUCUUUAUUUUCCUCUUCACUUAUGCAUGCACAAGCUUUGGCUUUUGCUUUAGUAAAGUGCCUGAUCUCAAGGUAGAAGUCAUUUUCCAUCUUCUUCUGUCUCUCCUGUCUGGCUGGGAAGGGCAGCGAUAGAGCAGUUUGGUGGGUACCUGGCAUCCAGACAAUGUCAACCCAGUGCAACAUGGCAGGGUCUCAUGGAACCAAAGGACUGCUGGGACACUGGGGGAACUCACAGAAUCAAGCGACCGUCAUGACACUGCCCUGCAUCACGGAAGUAAAUAUUCCCUGGGAAAGUACAGAAACCCAGGGAAUUAAGGGACAUCAUUGGGAUGUGCGGGACCUCAUGGAAUUAAACAAACCCUGGGAUAUAUUUGGAACUUCAUGGAAUCAAAGGGAUAAAACCAAAGAAUUAAACCCAAUGACCAGAAACCAUUGGUUUGAAUAUUUCUUUAAUAUGCCAGCUGGGGAUUCAGGGGGGUGCUCUGCCAUGCAUGAAUCAAAGAAUCAGUAUAAAUUUUGGAAUAUAAAUACAGUGAUACUUGAAAGACCCCCCUUCACAAGCAGUCCAUACUUAAGAUUUUGGGGUCAAAUAGCAUCUGGGAUUGUAUUCGUGGAGCAAGACUGCCAUCUAGCGUCCAUUUCUUCGGGGGGGGCAGUCAUUUUCGCAGAGUGGUCUUGCUUAGCAGGCCUCGUAGCAUCUCUGAUUGAUCUAUCCGACCUCUAACCCCAAACCUAAAUGUUCUAGGACCAGCUAAGACAUGUGUGUUAGAACUUCCCAUUUGCUUAAACAAUGUAUAAUUGACUUUCUUCUUAACAGAACAAUCUCUUAUUAAACAAGUUUUCUGAGGCAA